GUUGAUUUUACACCUGGGCUUUACAAUUUCGAAUAUAAAAGCGUUCUCUCCAUGACAAUCAAACACACUCAAACAUUACAUUCGACAUCAUGAAGUUCAUUUUUGGUUUAUCCGUUAUUCUCAUGAUUGCCAUGAUUAGUGCUUUGGCAGUUGACCCAGAAGAGCGGCUCCAAGCCCAAUUGGGCGAAGAACAAGAUGAAGGCUUUGGAGGAUCCGGAGAAGUGUUCACCUUGCAUUUCAACGAUUGUUCCCGUCAAUUCUGCCCAACCGUGAGGCAUGAAUGUUGUUGCGAAGGUGCAUUAAGCGGAGGCAAGGCUUGCUGCGAGGUGAAGACCAAUACCCAAGCCUGUGCUCUCUACAUUUGCAAUGGCGAGCACUGGGAAUGCGCCGAAGAUUGUUGAGAUGGAAUUCAUGUGAUGAUUACUCUUAGAACCAUAAAUUUGCGACAUU